rnacentral:rRNA from 1 species
AUUGAACGCUGGCGGCAUGCCUUACACAUGCAAGUCGAACGGCAGCACGGGAGCAAUCCUGGUGGCGAGUGGCGAACGGGUGAGUAAUAUAUCGGAACGUGCCCAAUCGUGGGGGAUAACGCAGCGAAAGCUGUGCUAAUACCGCAUACGAUCUACGGAUGAAAGCGGGGGACUCAGCAAUGAGCCUCGCGCGAAUGGAGCGGCCGAUAUCAGAUUAGCUAGUUGGUGGGGUAAAAGCCCACCAAGGCGACGAUCUGUAGCUGGUCUGAGAGGACGACCAGCCACACUGGAACUGAGACACGGUCCAGACUCCUACGGGAGGCAGCAGUGGGGAAUUUUGGACAAUGGGCGCAAGCCUGAUCCAGCAAUGCCGCGUGCAGGAUGAAGGCCUUCGGGUUGUAAACUGCUUUUGUACGGAACGAAAAGACUCCUUCUAAUAAAGGGGGUUCAUGACGGUACCGUAAGAAUAAGCACCGGCUAACUACGUGCCAGCAGCCGCGGUAAUACGUAGGGUGCGAGCGUUAAUCGGAAUUACUGGGCGUAAAGCGUGCGCAGGCGGUGAUGUAAGACAGAUGUGAAAUCCCCGGGCUCAACCUGGGACCUGCAUUUGUGACUGCAUCGCUAGAGUACGGUAGAGGGGGAUGGAAUUCCGCGUGUAGCAGUGAAAUGCGUAGAUAUGCGGAGGAACACCGAUGGCGAAGGCAAUCCCCUGGACCUGUACUGACGCUCAUGCACGAAAGCGUGGGGAGCAAACAGGAUUAGAUACCCUGGUAGUCCACGCCCUAAACGAUGUCAACUGGUUGUUGGGUCUUUGCUGACUCAGUAACGAAGCUAACGCGUGAAGUUGACCGCCUGGGGAGUACGGCCGCAAGGUUG